rnacentral:lncRNA from 1 species
CCCAUCAUUCCUUGCCUUUUUCGGCAAUGGUGGGUGGCUACGAGGGCCUUAGCCCUCACCAAACCUAUUCCCCCUUCUUCUUCUUCUUCUUCUUAUUCUUCUUCUUCUGGUGGGCGACUACGAGGGCCUUAACCCUCACCAAACCUAUUCCCCCUUCUUCUUCUUCUUCUUCUUCUUCUUCUUCGUUCCUUGCCUUCUUUGGCAAUGGUGGGCGGCUACGAGGGACUUAGCCCUCACCAAACCUAUUCCCCCUUCUUCUUCUUCUUCGCCCUCACCAAACCUAUUCCCCCUUCUUCUUCUUCUUCGCCCUCAACAAACCUAUUCCCCCUCCUUCUUCUUCUUCUUCUUCUUCUGGUGGGCGGCUACGAGGGCCUUAACCCUCACCAAACCUAUUCCCCCUUCUUCUUCUUCUUCUUCUUCUUCUUCUUCUUCUUCUUCUUCGUUCCUUGCCUUUUUUGGCAAUGGUGAGCGGCUACGAGGGCCUUAGCCCUCACCAAACCUAUUCCCCCUUCUCCUUCUCCUCCUCCUCCUCCUCCUCCUCCUCCUCCUUCUUAUUCUUCUCCUAAUGGGCGGCUACGAGGGCCUUAGCCCUCACCAAACCUAUUCCCCCUUCUUCAUCAUCAUCUUCUUCUUCUUCUUCUUCUUCUUCUUCUUCUUCUUCUUCUUCGUUCCAUGCCUUUUUUGGCAAUGGUGGACGGCUACGAGGGCCUUAGCCCUCACCAAAUCUAUUCCCCCUUGUUUUUCUUCUUCUUCUUCUUCUCCUGGUGGGCGGCUACGAGGGCCUUAGCCCUCACCAAACCUAUUCCCCCUUCUUCUUAUUCUUCUUUUUCUUCUUCUUCUCCUUGCCUUUUUUGGCAAUGGUGGGCGGCUACGAGGGCCUUAGGCCUCACCAAACCUAUUCCCCUUCUCCUCUUUCUUCCUUGCCCUCACCCUCCCCCUAUUCCCCCUCCUCCUUCUUCUUCUUCUUCUGGUGGGCGGCUACGAGGGCCUUAACCCUCACCAAACCUAUUCCCCCUCCUCCUUCUUCUUCUUCUUCUGGUGGGCGGCUACGAGGGCCUUAACCCUCACCAAACCUAUUCCCCCUUCUUCUUCUUCUUCUUCUUCUUCUUCUUCUUCUUCUUCUUCUUCUCCUUGCCUUUUUUGGCAAUAGUGGGCGGCUACGAGGGCCUUAGCC